UCGGCUUAGAGUUUGAUCAUGGCUCAGAUUGAACGCUGGCGGCAUGCUUUACACAUGCAAGUCGAACGGCACGGGUGCUUGCACCUGGCGAGUGGCGAACGGGUGAGUAAUACAUCGGAACGUGCCUGGUAGUGGGGGAUAACUACUCGAAAGAGUAGCUAAUACCGCAUGAGAUCUAAGGAUGAAAGCAGUUCGUUGUGCUACCAGAGCGGCUGAUGGCAGAUUAGGUAGUUGGUGGGGUAAAGGCUUACCAAGCCUGCGAUCUGUAGCUGGUCUGAGAGGACGACCAGCCACACUGGGACUGAGACACGGCCCAGACUCCUACGGGAGGCAGCAGUGGGGAAUUUUGGACAAUGGGGGCAACCCUGAUCCAGCAAUGCCGCGUGCAGGAUGAAGGCCUUCGGGUUGUAAACUGCUUUUGUACGGAACGAAAAGUACUUCUUAAUAGAGGUGCAUGACGGUACCGUAAGAAUAAGCACCGGCUAACUACGUGCCAGCAGCCGCGGUAAUACGUAGGGUGCGAGCGUUAAUCGGAAUUACUGGGCGUAAAGCGUGCGCAGGCGGUUAUGUAAGACAGAGGUGAAAUCCCCGGGCUCAACCUGGGAACUGCCUUUGUGACUGCAUGGCUAGAGUGCGGCAGAGGGGGAUGGAAUUCCGCGUGUAGCAGUGAAAUGCGUAGAUAUGCGGAGGAACACCGAUGGCGAAGCA
rnacentral:rRNA from 1 species